ACAUUUAAGUGCUCUGCAAUGGCUUUCUUUUUUUCUUGCGUAUGUGUGUUUGUGUUUGUGUGUGUAUGUGUCCAUGUGUGUGUGUGGUGUGUGUGUGUCCAUGUGUGUGUGUUUAGAGGGUGUCCAUCUGAGUGUGAUGCCAUGAUUUCAUAAGAAGCCAGAAGAGAGUGCCAAACUUCCAGAGCAGGAGUGCUAGGUGGAUUUAAAACACCCAAUGUGGGAGCUAUGAACUGAACUCAUCUGUUGAAAGACCAGUGCAAGCUCUUAACUACUGAGUCAUCUGUCUUCCCUGCUGCCUCCCGCCACCACAAUACAGUUUUGUACUUUUUAAAACUUAGCAUUCCCUGCUGCUUAACAAAGAAGACACCAAUCUCGUUUUAAAAGGGAAGAACCCAAGGCACAGUGAGCAUAAAUUUGACCCAGGAAUCAAAAACUGGGCCUGCUUUUAAGGAAUUCCUGUGAUUGUUAGAUGGUAAGAGGGUUGUAAACAUGAAUAUUGCACUCAUAGGGCCAUACAACUACCUGCUCAAUAACCGAUAGCUGAUGGAUUUGGAGAAAAAGCAAGGUCUUUGAUCUCAAUUGUGUACAGUGAUUCCACAGAGACCCAACAUAUAAUUCAUUACAUUCAACUCAGGAGUAAUAUUCACUGAUUCAAAAUCCUGUUGAUUUCCUCUAUGUCUCGUGAUCUUGGAGACAUGUUUUCAGCUCUAUCUACAUAGAGUCCUCUAAUAUGCUUACAUGGUUUGCAUUUCUUUCAAAGUUUACUCAGCUUGAGGUGAUUUUGAGAAAGAAGGGUUUGGAUUUCAUUUGGAGACAGCUGCUCACCUCACUACCAUGUAGAUGUUUCCAGACAUUGCACCUCUGCUGAAACUGCCUUUGCUUUGAUGUUUAUGGGAAUAUAGGUUCCUUGAGUUUACUUAAACUUACAAUGGUUUAUGUUUUUCUCAACUUUGAUGAGCCAUCAGCUUGGCCUAUAAAUACGUUAUUUCCAUGUGGAAAAGACCACCAUUUGUAACAAGAGACAGAUUGCUUUGAAAGCAUUCUGUUACCUAUAAGAGUUCCAUUCUAGAACAUUACUGUCAAUGUGUAUUGAGAACAGCUCCUUUUACCUUCCUCUUUAGUCCUUGAUACUCAUGCAGAAGACUGGAUUCACUUCCCAAUAUACAUUUUCAGCAUCUCACAAGUGCCUGUAACCUCAGCAUUAGGAUAAUUGAUACCUUCUUCUGACCUUCACAGUCUCUUACAGCUAUUCUUGCUCGGGGAAUCACCAGCAUAUUCCAAGUCUGGUAUCAUGUUCCCUGCCUAGAGCAUAGAGUCAGCUAUUGUCCAUGCAGCAGAAGACAUUGGAGAUUAUUUACCUAGGGCUCAGGACCACCUUACUUCUACCCCAAGACCCUGGCAAACAGGUAUGUUAUAUGUGUGUUCUAAUGUUUACACAUGUGUAACAAUGCAGGUGGCUCACAUGCCAGAGUAUAUGUUUGGAUGUCAGAGGAGAACCUGCUAGCUCUUGCCUUCCACCUUGUUUUGAGAAGGGGUCU